AUGCUUACUCGGACCCUUCCCUGCCAGCCUCUGCAUCCCGUGAGGAAUACGCUGUGCCAGGCUGACAGCUUCUCUGGUCAUACUGAGGUGCCUCUGCAAGGAGUGAGGAGCUCUGCCACUGUCCGUGCAUCCUGUGGCCUUCACAUCUGUAUUGCGUCUUGUUGUGUCCCUUCUCUUUGGACUGAUGUCAUCAUCACACGCCGCUUGAGAGACCGGGAGUUGCUCCGGAAAAGAAAAGCAGAAGCCCAGGAGAAAGACUCAAUUCAGGAGCAGGAGAAGAGCAAACGGCAAAAGAGGGGCAGAGGAGCAGGCAGAGGACGAGGCCGCCAGCCAGUUUUGGAGCCCAAGCCGGAGCCCAGCCCGGAGCCAGACCCUCAGCCCGAAGUGCUGGAGGGGAACGAGCAGGCACCAGCUGAGCCAGCAACACCCAUGCCAGCGUGUCAAGCCCCGCUGCCCGUGUUGACCUCUCAGGAGCUCUUCAGUGGGACUCCUCAGGGAGCUGUGGAAGGGGAGCUGGCAGACGGGAGCCAGUGUCCAGCGGGAAAUCUGUUCAUCAUGAAUGCUGCAGGACUUUUUCUCAGAUCUGGUUUGAGAAGAAGAAAGACAAUUUGUUUUAACAGACAGUGCAAACUAGGCAUACGGAUUGCUUCAAAACUAGGAAAACCUGGGAUGUGUAUUUCAGAGGAGGUGAAGAGGCAGUCCUGAAACCAGGCGAAGCAGAAAUACCGGAGGGUUUGAAUAUUCCUCUGGAAAAUGACCACCAGGAUAAUGAAUACUACACACCAGUUCUAUUUUAAUUUUUUGUUUUGUCUUCUGUCUGAUAAACUCAAGCAUUGUAGARUGAUUUAGAUCAGCUGUUUCCAU
rnacentral:lncRNA from 1 species